rnacentral:lncRNA from 1 species
CUUCAUCCAUGUGUGUUGGAGCCAACAAAAGGCUCCAGAGCUGCUCUUGUGCCUUGUCCCACAUAACGCUUUCAUUUUAAGACCAAGCCCCAGUAUUAAAAGUAAACAUCAACACUCUGAGUGAUUCUUGGCCAUAGCAAGGCUCCCCAGCAUCAUUGCAGGAAAGAAAUCUCAACAAGGGCCUCUCAGUUAACUACACAGCCUCCAUCCCAGCAGCCCUGUUCAAGCACAGCCCCUGCAGACGGGGGCACCACAGCUUUUCUCUGUGGCAGAGGAAAGCUAUGGAUUUAUUGUUUCACCAUCAGGAAAUCGCGCUAGUUUGUUGUUGUUGUUGUUGUGUUUUGUUUUGUUUUUGGAGACAGGGUCUUACUGUGUAGUCCUGGCUGUUCUGGAACUCACUCUGUAGACCAGCCUGGCCUCGAACUUACAAAGAUCUGCCGGCCUCUACCUCCCCAGUGCUAGGGAUCAAAGGCAUGUGACACCACCACCCGGCCUGCUCUAGUUGUGAAGGGGAGUAACUAACUAACCGUACAGAUAGCCCGACCACCAGUUCUACUUUCGAAGAGGUGAAAAAUAAUCCCAUUAAAAUACUGUGUUUCGCAUUCUCUGGAUAGCUGAGCUUCCUGACCGACAUUCCUCCCGGAGCUGGGGAGGAAGCUUGACUCAGCUCAGCUCUGCUUGGAGUCCUGAGGAACAGGCUAAAUGCAUGGUGGAUCAGGGCAGCAUUCCGGAGUCAGGGGCCACGGGGCAGGUUCCCCCCAGCUCGGGGUCACAGGACAGAAGGAGAGAGGAAAAGAGUGUGGAAAGUCGGACUGCAACUGACUGCAUGCUGACGUCAUUGUCCAGGCCAGCCGCAGCUGCUCCUUCCUGGAAAGAGGCUCGAAGGCCCCAGGACAAAAAGAUGUGAGGGGGAAUUACUUGAAGUGGGACACAAACAGAAACCAAAGGCAAAGCAAAAACUUUCACAUGCUGCUCAGGGCAAUCUGCUCGUGCAAAAUCGAAUCAGUGAAGCCAAUGCCAUGUCUUUGCUGCCCGCUACAACUUUAAAGUGUAUUUCACAGAGUUUUGUUUUUGGUUUUCCCCCUCAGCGAUGUCAUUUGGAGAAUGUUCAAAAAUGGCAAAGCAAAGAGAAGAGACACAUUAAAGAUUUCUGGAAAACGACUUUUAACACACUUUAGGCCCAUCGCUAGCUAUUGCAAAUGUAUUCAGCUCUUCCCUGAAAGGCAUUAGCAGUGAGGAAUAAAAUCAAGUCCUGCCAGGAAUCUCUCACGAUCCCUCCCACGCAUAGUUGAUUAAUGGACUCUAGUUAGGCUGGGUUUUAAUAUGCUUUGCUAUCCGGUGGCACAUGGUCGGGGAGCAGAGAGGCCGAGUCCUGGAAAAGGCACGUGUGCAGAGCACAUGACCUUGGGCGGAGUUCUGAGUGGGAUGAAUCCAGGGACUUUGAUGGUGGACACAAUGAAAGAGACAAUCAAUCUCUACAGAUCUGCUAUGGAAGAAAAACCACAGCCCAUCCGCAUACCCCAGAGGACCCAGGGAGGAGCAAAACAGAAACCGGAUCUCCAUAGGAAGCGGUGUUACCAGAACGCCUGGGGCCGCGGUAGAAUUCCUGACCUUGCCAUAUCUCUAGCACACUCUGGGUGCCAGUGGCUGGGAAGGGGGUGGAAAGAACUCAAGCGGAUGGCAGAACCACGUUUGAUGUACGGUAAGCAUUGACUCAGGGAAAGACAAAGCAUUCCAAGGCCAUUUCCCCCAGGAAGGAGGUUUUCUGGAACUAGGUUUAAGUUCCCAGCCUGAGUCUAUUCUAAGGUCUUUGCACACAUGGACUUGGGACUUCCGGAAUAUAGGUGCCCGACUCAUCCCAUCGUGUGCUCUUCUUAGCAUGGUACAAUGUUUAACACAAUGAAUGAAUGUAUGCAAGAAGCACAGAAUAAAUAAUUGAUUAGCUCUUUAGGGAAGAUAAUGGUUUCUAUGUAACUCUGAGUGCAGGAUGAAGGUUGAACAGAAGCGAAGGUGGUUUUGUGCCAUAAAAGGGAGCACAUUUGCCAGGAUGCCUCUGGAGGCCUCGUAAUUCCUGAGCUUGAUGUAGCCCUGGCAGGCUAUUGGUGGCUAACGGCCAGAGUGCUGUGACUUUUAUUUUUUUCCAAAGAGUGUCAUCUGGAGAUUGCCCCAAAUGGUAAAGCUAAGGGAGAAGACAUUUUUAACUUCUAGAAAACUUCAUUUAACCUGUUGCAAAGCCUAUUUCUGACUAAGUCCAAGGGUGUACAAAACUUUUCAUAAAGAAGUGUGACAGAUGACUAUAUAUGUCAGAGCAACACUACAAAAGCCAUUAGGUAGGAGAAUUUUCACCCAGCAUGGCCAAAAACAUAGGAAUGACCAGCUUGUCUCCUCAAUCCUGGGAAAAGCACCCUCAAAUAUCUCCAAAUUCCUCAAACAUCCCUCGGGUCACAUCUAAAUCUCUAGCCAAGACCACCUACAGAUACUUGUCUUCAGCCAAGGCCACCUACAGAGACCUUACACUUGUAGUGUUUUCAAUACCUAAUCCCUGAAGGAAAUGAGAGAGAGAGAGAGAGAGAGAGAGAGAGAGAGAGAGAGAGAGAGAGAGGAGACAUAAUCAUUGUUGGGAUCAGAUGAUGGGCUUCAAGUCUCUUCAGGCUGGUGUCCAAGGUAGUAUGACCCAGACUGACGCUCUGGGUAUGGAGUAUAAUGCUCUUAUGCUAAGGCAGGCUGUUUGGCAGGGACUGUGUUCCCCAGCCUUCCUUGCAUCUAAGUGAGAAGAUGGAUUGAUCUUCACCAAUGAGUGACACUAGAACCAACACGUUUCACUGAUUGCAAGCAUCUUCAUUGAGAAGGGCAUCUCAUCCAUGCUCUGCUCUGCCAUUCAGCAGUCGAGUGAGGAGGACUCUGCCGUCCUAGCAGAGGGGCGAAUUCCAGAUAGAGUGCCAGCAGAGAUGAUUUUUGAAGAUUCUCACUGCCAAAAAAGUUGUAAAUGGCUGAGGCGACAUUGUCUCCAGUUGCUCCUAGCUAAUCACUACUCAUUGUGUAUACAGACUGCAAUGCCCCACAAACCCCAGAAAUAAGUACCAGUUACAGUGUGUCAGCGAAAAGAAGAAGUGUUUUCUUUAAAGAGGCAGAGAAAACACUGGUUCAUGGGAGAUUGCCUGGGAACGCCUCUGUUUAACUGUGGCACUGUUAUAGUGUGACUUUGAUGUCCCCAAGGUUCUCUGCUGCUGACAGUAUUAUGGGAUGUAAUGGGAAUGUUAGGAGGUGGGGCCUCACCAAAGGAAGUAGGUCACUGGGGGGUGUGCCUUUGAAGAUUACAGCUGAGCCCAGGCUUUUUCUUCUGUGCUGGUUAGCUUUUUGUCACAAGCUCAGGUCAUCUGGGAAGAGGGACCCUAACUGAGACAGUGUCUCCAUAGGAUUAGCCUUUAGGCAAGUCUUUGGGGGCGUUUUAUUGGUUAGGGGUUGAUGCAGGAGUACCCACUCACUGUAGAUGGUACUAACUUGGGCAGAUGGUCCUGGCUUAUAUGAGAAAAACCCAAAAUUUUCCUCCAAUUUCAACUUAGCACUUGACAUUUUCAACUUAGCACAGGCUUAUUGGGAGGUAAUCCCACAAAUUGGGGAGUAUUUGUCUAUCAAAAUCAUAGAUCAAGAGUUCUCAUGGCUAAAACAACAAACUACAGGUGUAAAGAUAUGGGCAAAGGACAUGGACAAAAAUCCAGAGGAAAGUAGAACCAGGCCGCUAAGCUGUGGCUCCAUUGGCAGAAUGCUUGCCUCCAUGUAUACAGUUCUGGGUUUGAUCCUCAGACUAGGAGGAAAAAAAGUCCAAUAACAACAAGAAUACAUAAGAAGAUGGCCAACCUUGCUCGUAACUAAAGAAAUUAAAAUUUGUCUUUUAAGUAAUUUAUUUUUUAAGUUUUCAGCCAAGUAUUUAUUGUAUAUUGAAAGUACUCCCCUCUGUGGGGUUUGAAGGAGAUGUCCUCCAGAGUCUCUGGCAUUUGAACACUUGGUCCUCAGUUGGUGAUGCUGUUUGGGGAAGCUUGAGAGGCAUAGCUGGAGAAAGUACAGCGAUGGUGGUGGGUUUCGAGAGGCAAAGCCUCAUGCCAUCCCAGCUUGCUGUCUCUGUGCUUUGUGUUUGUGGUUCAAGAUGUGAGGUCCCGGUUUCCUGCUCCUGCUCCUGCCCCACACCUCAUUUCACUCCUGUGGACUCUUACUCUUCAGGAACAGUGACACUAGCUGAUGUCAAGUUGACAAGACAACAACAAACCUAACGAGCAUAGCACAGAUGGAUGCAAAUGGAAGCUGGAAGGUCAUUAGGAGAAGUUCCUGCCCCCCAUGACCUACUGCUAGAAGAGCUGCUUCCGGUCUAUAAAGCAAGCAGCAGGUGCCCAGGACUUACUGCUGAGCCCCUUGCAGGCUAAGCUAGACAAAGGGUCCUGAUUUCCCAGGAAGUGUCUGUUGGAGUGGGUACAGUACGGCUGUGGAAACACAAAGGAGCUGCCUCUCUCCAUCCCGAAGCGGUAAUAAGUUCUCUACCCACGAAGGGACACACUUGCUCGGGAUAGAGCAGGAAAGAUCCCGUCAUCAACAAGGCAAAGCACAAGGUGCUUGGGCUUCACUUCUAGACUUAAUCUCCCUCCCAUGCAGAUGUGCUGAACCUUCCAGAAACUGGUCUUUGUCGCCCCAAGCAAACAGCCACAUAGAAAAUCUGUGAGUCAGUCAGCCUGUUCCUGUUGGUCCACCCAGGCUGGAACACACUAAAAGCCCAAACAAAACAAGUGUGGCUCUUACAAGCAGGAGGACGAUAAGGGAUCCGGUUAGAGGCUUUGCCCAGUGACCCACUGGCUGUUCAUUCUGUGAAUUCUGCCCAGGAAUUUACAAGGAAUCCAAGGUCUGUGAUUGGGAAACUGGGAAGAGAGCCAUCAGGCCGAGUUGGCAGUGAAAAGCUGGGUGAAACAGCGGAUAUCUGGUAAGAACUGGGCUGAGUUUUAUCCACACUUACUCCCUCCCCUCAGAAGUGCAAAGGAAGACUACACCGCCUUAUCCCGUUGCAAAAAUGAAAAAUCAUUUCUUAUAUGGAACUGAACACUGAGUCCUAGAGACAGGGAGGUAGACCCACUGCCAGAAAUGACAUCAUUAGGUAGAACAAGCCAAGGCCUUGUGACUCCAACAAUGGCUCCCCCGUCCAAUGUCACCACAUCAACACAGCCUCCGGAAGAUCUUGGCCCCUGCAGGUCUGGUGCCUGUCUGUUCCCACAAUGCUUUUCUGCAGACAUUUACCACUCUCUCCGGUCAAAGGCAUCUAAGCACUUGUCAAGGUGUCCUGAGAUGGAUUCUCUCUGCAGUUACUUGCUCACUUUUCCUGAAGGGGAAAGUGACCUCCUCAUGGCCUCGCUUGUGGAUCCCUAGCCCCUUGUGGGGUGGUUCUGAGUAUCUGAAGCAGCCGCUUUGGAGAUGGGUGGUCCUGAGUUCAAGACAUACUUUUUAAUCUGUGUAAUCUUAGACAAAUUAUUUAAUAUCUCUUUGCCACAGAUUCCCCCAAGUUUUAAAUGAGAACAGAAACCAUUUCCCAGCACAGUCAGGAAGAUUAAUGGAUCAUUAGUAUCCAGCAAGGGGCCUGAAUGUGGUAACAGCAGAAUAAAGCUGUGACUGUCUCGGGAACCCCAUUACUCACCUGCCCUGGAUUGUGGCAGGGAAGAAUAGUUUCAUAGAUGGAGAAGACCCCUGUCCCCCCAAAGAAAGUGUGACUCACAGAGCAGCUUUCUGCCUUGCUGCAAACCACCCACCCACAGUCCCCUCUCCUUGAUGUCACCACUAUUAGACUGUUCUCCCAUUACACUAGAAGAGAGGGUUGAGGGCCAGCCUCUGCCCAGAAUGGGGACAUCCCAAGGCAAACCAGAAAGCAAAGGAAGCUGAAGGAGGCAGCUUAGAUGUGCCCUCUCUCGGGAGAAGCAGCCAUAAAAGAGCUCUGGCUGCUGCUUCCCUCUUGAUAAAUGCCCUCUGCUUCUCCAGCCAGAGCGACUGCCAGGAGUCAGCCUUGGUUGAAGUUGUAUGUUUUCCCCUGAGCAGUGACCUCAGUGCAGUCUUUCUAGGGAUUCAUAAUCCCUGGGAAUGCUGACAGCCCCAAAGUCACUGCCUCCUCCCAACUCUGCUCUUCUGGUGACAAGGAGGCCUCCAGCUCCUCAGUGGGAUAGACUCCAGGACUGCAGGGAUGGCUUCUCUGUCACUGUAACUCACAGCUUCCUGAAUGCUGAUGGACCUACCAGGCCACUGGGCACCCAGGGCUAAGCCUUUGCUGCUCACCUUCAGGUUCAUUGGUUCUCAGAACAGGGAAAGGAAGGGCUGAUGGGGACCCACCUGUGUGACACUCUGAGGUGAGUUCAGGGGGACUAAGCCGACUGGUACACAUGUAACCACAAGCCAGGCUUUGCGAGUGAAGGAUGCUCCCCAGCUAUGUGAUUGUGUCAUUUUUAUCUCUGGUCCUAUGGAGAACUGGGACUUGGUAGGUGCUGGGAGGGAGCAGAAACUUCAGGGCGCACAUGAGCAUAGUCUAGAAUUCUCUAGGAAGGAGGAAGAGGACAGAAUGGCUAGCUAGCACAAGUGCCUGAGGGACAGUGAAAUUGGUGGUGAUCAUUACUGCAACUUUGAGCUAAACUUGGGGUUGUCUGGGAGGUAAUCAGAGAAAUAGGAGGCUUGGGGUUACCUUGCACUAGUUGCAAGCAGGCCAUCCAUUGGGCUCUCGUGAAUUCAAGCCCCUCAGCCUUGUCUUAGCUGGGAAGCCUGGUUAUUGGCUACCAGUCCAGUGACAUGGGAAGAGCACAUUGAUAUUUUGAGGGACAGACCUGCAUCCUGUUACUUGCCUUCCAAUAUGAGGAGCCCUGACCCACCCUACCCCCCAAUCUGACCCAGCUAUCAGGUUUUAGGUUUUAGGACAACUGUUCCUAGUGCUAACCCCAGAAGAAGAGCCAGCUCCAAUCUGCCCCCCUUCCUUACACACUCAGGAUAUAUAUAUAUAUAUAUAUAUAUAUAUAUUUAUAUAUAUAUAUAUAUAUGGUGUGCUUAUUUGAGGCUCCCUGAUGCCCUAAAGCACACCUUUUUAGGCGACAGUCAUCUUGUCAAAUACAAAGCCUAAACACUCAUGAUCUGGAUGGUUCUGACUUGAAUGGGAGCCUUAGUGUCUCCCUGUGUCCUGGGACGCUGAGCUCUGUCUCUGACCCUGUAGCCUUGAGGUGAGGAUUUUGCCUGUUAGGGUCUGAGGACUUCUCAAAGCUGAAGUUGAUCUUCUAUGUGGGUCACCAGAGUAGAUGGCAUCCUCUAGUCACUCUUUGCAAGGACAAUGUCUAGCAAGUGCUCUCUGCUCUGGCCCUGCCCUCAGUUCCUUCUUGUAAUGCCCUGGCAAUUAUUAUUGUGAGCCACAGAUGACACCUGUGGUGGCUCAGAGGGGCUGAGUCUGCACAUGUCUCUUGAGGGCUGUGUGUGGCUUGUGAUGGAGGCAGCUAGUGAGAAGUUCCCUGUGCCCUGUGACUAAGCUCAGAAAGGCAAUGAAGGCUUAGCUGGCUGCUUGUGUCCUGACUGGAGACCGAGGGUUCAGUGCAAUGUAACUCAGCUUAGGGGUUUCUUGAGUCCCUACAAGAACAGUCCGUAGGCUGAGUGUAGAUAAAACCAGAAGCAAAUGGCCUCAAAGAGAUCACAGUGAACGCUUCAGGUAGAAGACAGCAACAGAGGAGAUGUUGACAAGAGGCUUUCCCAUGAACCCCGCCCUCUGCGAAAUAUCUUUCCUUCACCUCUUCCCCAGAUUAACUUUCCUGGAUCCUCCCUAGGCUCUCACCUCAGUGACAUUUCCUUGAAGGAGGUUUCCCUGCUUGGAGUGGCUCGGGUAAUUCCCUGGUUAUACUCUCUGUCUGGGCUACGGGUUCCACUCCUCAGCAGCUCAUGUCCCUGAUAAAAUGUGCAGUUCUCUGUGUGGUUACUUGAUUACUUUAUGUCCCCUGGCUAGGCUGAUUAGAAGCUCCAUCAUGUUGAGUACCAGGUAUAGGAAGAACACUAUGAAGACCCACUGGGAAAACACAUGGCUCUCCGAGGAAGCAGUCUGUGUCUAGGUGUCUUAGUAAGUGGCCUUGGGAGUGAGAGCUGUGAGAAGAAGGAGAAAGUCAGAAUGGACACAGAAAAGUGGAGAGAAACUCAAUAGUAACAUUAGCUAAAAAUCCCACAGGAGCCAUAGCUGUCCUGACUGGAUCAAAAUAGCUGGGCUUUGCUAAGUCAUUGAGUGUGGGCCACAUCAGAAAGGAUUUCAUCUUGGAUGAAGUGACUCUUUGCCUCUGAGAGAGCUGAAAGGUAAAGACCACUGGCAGGCAGCCCUCCCAGUAACAGAAGCAACAACACCUCCAUUACAGCAAGAAUUGAGCAACUUACCCCCAUGUCCAUAAUAUGAGCAGCAUGGAGAAAGCAAGGUGAUAUGGGGGAUGCCCCUGCACACUGGUAUGUGCAUCCCCGACUCUCCCUGGGCUGAGUGGACUGAGCUUUAAGAGCACUCACUAGAGCCAGAAGAGAGGCUCUUACCAACAGACAAGCCCUGGCAGCAGCAAGCAUGCUCUAAAAUCUUAGGAGUUUCCUGCUGAUCUUUCUUCCUUACCUGCUAACCAAAUGCCCAAAUCACCAGGGAGUCCAGUGCUUUAUCCAAUUCUGCAUGCACCCAAUGGAAGGAGCCUGGGACCUUGAGUGACAGUGUGGAACAUGGUUCUUGCUUCUUCCGUCUUCACCCCUAAGCCAAUCAAUAGCACACCAUGACAUGAAGAAACAGACAUUUAAUUUUGUAUUCACUGAGCUUUGACAGCUAUUUGUUUCAGCAUUUCCCCUCCUUGAGUAAUACAAGAAUUUUGUUUUUCUUGGAGUGGAAAACUUCCUUUAAAACAGUGGUUUUCAACCUUCCUAAGGCCGUGACCCUUUAAUAUACAGUUCCUCAUGUUGUGGUGACCCCCACCACCACCAUAAAAUUAUUUUCUUAUUGCUUUAUAAGUGUAAUUUUGCCACUUUUAUAAAUAUCUGAUAUGUGACUCCUGUGAAAGGGUCUUUCAACACCCCCAGCAAGGGUCAAGACUCACAGGUUGAGAGCUUGUGAUGUAAAACAAUGACCAUAUGAAGCUGGCUAGAGAGGAGAGAUGGCAAACUAUGAAAUCGGGCAUCUGUGCUUGGAUAUUGGAUCCCAGGGCUGCCUGUCAUAACCUGGAAGUCAUCCAUGCCCAGGGGAAGAGCAUGGAAACAGAAAACAGAAUAUUGGCCCCAGUGCUGCCUGUGGACUGCAUCCAGCAAGACACCAAAAGAUAAAGGUAAAUGCAAUGAAGAACUAAUUGGAAGAACUAGUCUGUGAGAAGGAAAUGGAAUAGAAUCAGAAACAAAGGACCUCUCUUAGGACCCACUUCUCUCUUUGGGCUGCCUUUACCUCUCCAUACAAAAUGAAAUACUGUGUUAGUGAGGGGCCACUAACUAUUGUAAUAAUCUCCAAAUUGCAGAGACUCAUAACAAUAAAGAUUUCUUUCUCAGACACACAUUUUUUUGAGAGAGAGAGAGAGAGAGAGAGAGAGAGAGAGAGAGUGAGAGAAUGUGAUUGGGCUUCAUUGCACAUAAUCUGUCUUUCUUCUCAGCUAAGCACAGUCCUGAGGCAAAGAAAAAUCAUUUCAGGGACUACACCUUUCUACUAAGCCAGAGAAAGAGAACUCCAUGGUAGCCACCGUUAAGUUGAGAAAGAACAGCACUAGCAAGCCAAGCCAGCUUAGACGGGGUAGAGAAUUACAACUCAGAAGAAAAUUCUAUGUGCACUUACUACGUGGAAUUGGCUAGAAGGAAAUCUCCUAGAAGCCCAAGUUUUUGAAGGAGUUGUGUUGCCAAAGAAGCCAGGAGACUGUGUUUAAAGCUGUGGAUCAUCCAAUAUAUCCAAGGUUCCUAGCUUUGCCUGGAUGCAGGGGCUUGGGGGCUAUGCUUGUCCUCACUGGGGAUGGGAAGGGAAAAAGGAAGGGAGCAAGAGGAUGGACUGUGACCCAGACAGCUAAUGUCACCUAUUUUUCCCACUGCAAAUAUUGUACUAGUUAGCGCAGGUUGCUGAAAUGAAACAUUACAGCCUAAGUGUGUUAAACCAUAGACAUUGUCUUCUUAGUUUGGGAGGCCAGAAGUCAAAGGUGUAAGGGAUCACAAAGUGUGGUUUGUUCUAAUGUAUGGGCCUGUAGAUUGCCACUGGGAAAAUCGGAUGUGCCCUGAUCUUGAUUCUUCCACAGUAUGUAGAGCAGUGCCCUUCAGGCUGUGCCUUGCCCUGGGGUGACUCCAUUUUACAAGGGGCAGUUGAGUCCUUUUUGAGCAUAAAUGCAGAGGCAGGGUGACUGUGUGUCAUUAUGCAUGUAGUUGCCACCAGCUGUCCAGCAC